UCCUACGGGAGGCAGCAGUAGGGAAUAUUGGGCAAUGGGCGCAAGCCUGACCCAGCGACGCCGCGUGAGGGAUGAAGGUCUUCGGAUUGUAAACCUCUUUCAGUAGGGAAGAAGCGAAAGUGACGGUACCUAAAGAAGAAGCACCGGCUAACUAUGUGCCAGCAGCCGCGGUAAUACAUAGGGUGCAAGCGUUGUCCGGAAUUAUUGGGCGUAAAGAGCUCGUAGGUCGUUUGUCGCGUCGAUUGUGAAAAUCUGAGGCUCAACCUCAGUCCUGCAGUCGAUACGGGCAAACUAGAGUGUGGUAGGGGAGACUGGAAUUCCUGGUGUAGCGGUGGAAUGCGCAGAUAUCAGGAGGAACACCAAUGGCGAAGGCAGGUCUCUGGGCCAUAACUGACACUGAGGAGCGAAAGUGCGGGGAGCGAACAGGAUUAGAUACCCUGGUAGUCCGCACCGUAAACGGUGGGCACUAGUUGUGGGAACCUUCCACGGUUUCCGCGACGCAGCAAACGCAUUAAGUGCCCCGCCUGGGGAGUACGAUCGCAAGAUUAAAACUCAAAGGAAUUGACGGA
rnacentral:rRNA from 1 species